rnacentral:rRNA from 1 species
AUGCAGCGAUUCAAGUCCUACACCUCCAGAUUCGUCGACCCCAAGCUCAUCGCACGUGGUCCCGAGGAGGAGAUGCCCGCUUGGCUUGCGCUUCGCCGCCCCCGUGAGGAGGCCGCCCAACGGCAGCGGUCGGACUCCUUCCGUCAGGAAUCCAUUUGCAUCCGCUCAAGUGGCGCAUGGAUCUGCUGCGAGAUGUGGCAUCGCUGCCUCACCGGAGGUGGUGCAGUCCGUCUGGCUCUGAAUGUGGCGGCAGACGCGCAACCCCUCCAUUGGCUCGCCAAGGCGGAGGUGAACACACCAUGGGCGUCGUCCGACGCAAACAUGGAGCGUCGUGCCCGCCGUGCGAGGCAGCGGGCGUGGGGGGCGGCGGCAACCCUCACGGCAGUGGACGUUGGCGAAGCAGAGUCGCAUUCUCCGGCUCCCCGUAUGGUGCACCACCGGGCGCCACGACCACGCCGUGGUGGAUGUUGCCGGCUCGUCCCAGGUUGGAUCCAUCAUUGA